UGAAGGGCCGCGGUAUUUUGACCGUGCAAAGGUAGCAUAAUCAUUAGUUCUUUAAUUGUGAUCUGGGAUGAAUGGCUUGACGAGACACGAGCUGUCUUAGUUGAUGAAUGUUUUAUUGAAUUUGGUUUUUGAGUUAAAAUUCUUAGAUGUUUUUAUGGGACGAGAAGACCCUAUAGAGUUUGACGCUCAGGCUUACUUUUAUUUAGUUUGUUUUGCUUUAUUAAUUAGGUCGCGCGUUUUGUUGGGGCGAUGAGAGGGAUAUGACUUAACUCCUCUUUAUUUUGGUUAUAUUGAUGUAUAGUUGCUUGAUCCAUUAAUUUUGAUUAUAAAAUUAAAUUACCU
rnacentral:rRNA from 1 species